rnacentral:lncRNA from 1 species
GCCUGGUUAGAUCUCCUGUGUCUUUCUUCUUCGCUUCACACAGAGGUAGAUAGAGAAAGAGAGAGAGAGUGAAGGGAAUUCAUUUUCUUGGACAGCUGGGUUGUUGCUCAGUGUGUGUUUUUCUUGCUUCGACACCUAGGGUGGUUCGCAGUGCUAUAGUGUCUAUGAUACCUCACUCCACCGAGAGGAGUUGACGGUUGUGAAAUUGAGUUUGUUAGAGGGUUGGGUGAAUGUGAUUUGUGAGGAUGUUGCUUAGUGGUGCUUCAUCAAGGGAGACUCGACUUCAAAGCUGGUUAUCAGAAGUAGGUUCUUUAAGAGCAUUACAUGUUCAUGGUCUUAGCUGGGUAGAUCUAUAAUUAUACGUCAUCAAAGAGAAAGUGACCCCUUGAUAUAUGCUGGUCCAACUUAAAGUUAUGAGGUUGUCUUUUUGAAGCGGUUUUCUUCUGCCAUACAUUUGAUCACUGGUUAUUUUUGUUUAUGAGAGGAUAAGUGCUUAUCAUUCACCAAUUGCAAGAGUGGGUUUUUAUUUGCAUUUGAGGAUUUUCGGCAACAUUAUUUGCAACCGAUUUGCGGGUGUUCUUCAAAGGUUGAUGAGGCCAUGAGCAAUUAAGUGACAUGUCUUCUUUGUGGUAAUAGGCGCAAAACACCGAGUAUUGUUUGCCUCCUCAAGUGGGAAGGAGUUGAGAAAGUGGAAAUCCCCAUGAGGCUGUAGACUUCUGGGGUUUGACCAAAACCUAGGCAAUUGUUUUAAGCAGCAGAUGAAUGACAACCAAAAAGAUGAAGUGAUUUGCGAGAGAAGCAAAAAGAUGAAGAAGUCUACCAGUGAUAUGUUAUAGACUUCAUGUCACAUUGAAGAUCCAAACAUUGAAUCCACAGUAAAGCUUAGAGGAAAACCAGCUGAACAGUUAUUCGGAAUAACUUGCAAAGAACUCUUGAACAAGUGCCCCUAUGCACCACAAGAAACACUGCCACCAGAGAUAUUACAAACAGAGGGGCAGAUCCGUGUUUUCCAAAUCCAAAUCACUGAGACAAACGACUUCAUAGUAAAAGGAAUCUUUCCAGACACAGAUCAUCAACCAGUGAGACAGAGACAAGCAUUGAAUCAGCGACCUCAACACCAGACACUCUGAACAAAGAAAAAAUAGAUUGAAGUGUCAUGUCGCUUUUCAUGUAAAUACAAAUGGAGGAAACACAUUUUUGAACAACCUCCACAACUACUUAGCACUUUUUUGGCUAGGCUAACAACUCUUCAACAAUUGCGGUCACUUUUGGUAUAAAUGUAACUGGAGUAAGCACCAUUUUGAAGAACCUCUGCUGAUACGUGGUAACGAAGAUCAACACCUCUUUUCAGCAGACAGAUGAAAUGUAGUUAGGUUAGCCUAUAAGUAAAACAAUAUAUUUUUGACAAGCUGUGUCAACAGCAGUUGUAUUGUAUAUUUGCACAUUAUC